UUCUCAUUAGCACCCAAAGUCUAGCCACUCUGCUGCCAGAAUAAGUUACACCCCUACAUUACCUGUCCAAACUUGGACUGUGGUGACAGGCUCUUAUAGCUCCAAAGAAACCAUAUUUAAGUUGCCAAGGAGAACCAAAGCUAAAACCACUAAAAACUAAUAUUUGGAAUUCGGAUGCCAGUUAAGAGCUUAAAGAGAAUGUGUAACAUAAUUGUGAUA